GGGCCAAAAAGAAGGCAAAUAAUGAAGGCAAUGCGAUCAGCGGAAUCAAAGAUGGCCGUUACCUCUGUGGCUUUUUUGUCGUUCAAGACGGACUCGUCUUGAAACGAUCCUCUCGCGCUGAUGUGACGUUAUAAAAACUUCAUUUUCGAUUACCCGAGAGUGAAACUCUUCAAUAUGUCUCACAGAGAGGGCCAUGAACUGGCAGGAUCGACGCUGCUAUCUACUGAUGAGUUAACAGCAUGUUUGUCUCAAUUAUCUAACAUUAUGCAACGAGCUACUGACGCUUCUUCUCAGAAGAAAAUAUUGGUUAUAAGAGUGGAUUCAAUGAACUUCAAAAAUUGUCAGUGACCGGGGAGCAACGCGAUUUCUACAAUGGCAACGAAGAGUCACAGGACAGCAAUUGUACGACUAAAGACGGUAUUUCAGAAGUUGUCGAACAACCUCCAGCGUUCAACAACUCAGAACAUGCGAAUUCUUUGUUUUCUAGAGAUGGCUCGAAUUGUAUCACUUCUAACAAGAAGAAUUCACGCAAAUCUCCGUUAGUUCCUCGACAGCUAAACUCAUUCGUGUGGACAACGCCAUCAAACGUUUCAUCCGAUCUCAUCAUCAUCAUCACAUAAUGUUCCUCUUACAACUCUUUCUUCUCAAACUGCUGAAGAUCUCAUCCUCGAGGCUGAUUCACUCGAAGUGUCGCUCGACGAAACGGAUCCAUAUAGGAAGGAUUCUUCAGGAUCGAUUCUGCUAUCUACUGAAGAAUUCAACGCGGUUUCUGGUUGUUGGACUCGGUGCGGGGAAAAAAAUGUAAAAUUAAAUCCACGAAUGAGUGUUCCUUGUUUACAGUGAUGUGAAAUAAAUGCAAAUCAUGAACUGAUGUCGAAAUAGCAGAGUGAUGAGGGGUGAUCGAAGUGAUACGGUAUAGAAGGAAUAUGGAAAAAGUUAGAAGUGAUUCCGUGAAUAGGCAACGAGGGUUGGUGACAGCAGCACGUUAUAGGCGAUGGUUAUAGGAAGAGUGUGAAAAAAGCUAGAAGUGCAUCCGUGAAUAGGGAACCAUGCGUAAUAACAUAAAAAUUGUUAGAAUUAUCGUUUGUAA